GACGAACGCUGGCGGCGUGCUUAACACAUGCAAGUCGAACAGUGGCGAACGGGUGAGUAAUACGUGGGUAACCUGCCCUCCACUUUGGGAUAACUCCGAGAAAUCGGGGCUAAUACUGGAUAGUGGGGGAUGGGCUCGCGGCCUAUCAGUUUGUUGGUGAGGUAGUGGUCACCAAGGCGUGACGGGUAGCCGGCCUGAGAGGGCGACCGGCCACACUGGGACUGAGACACGGCCCAGACUCCUACGGGAGGCAGCAGUGGGGAAUAUUGCACAAUGGGCGAAAGCCUGAUGCAGCGACGCCGCGUGGGGGAUGACGGCCUUCGGGUUGUAAACCUCUUUCAGCAAGGAAGCGGUACUUGCAGAAGAAGCGCCGGCUAACUACGUGCCAGCAGCCGCGGUAAUUC
rnacentral:rRNA from 1 species